CUUCCUUUUUGUCCGACAUCUUGACGAGGCUGCGGUGUCUGCUGCUAUUCUCCGAGCUUCGCAAUGGUAAGCUUCAGGGGUGUGAAGUCGCCGGCGUUCUUGGGUUUGAGGACUCAGUGGGGAGAGCCUUCGGCGGGAGCGCUCCUUGGCCUGCCGGCCUCGGUUGCAGGGCGGGCGCGGUUAUUGCUUGGCCCAUGUGCUCUGGUGGUGGAGUUUGCGGGGGCUGAGGGCGCAGUAUUAGGGGACUUUGGCGCUAUUUGAGGACCUGGUUGCAUUCCCGCUGCCCUCCUACAGCCGCCUAAGGACGACAAGAAGAAGAAGGACGCUGGAAAGUCGGCCAAGAAAGACAAAGACCCAGUGAACAAAUCCGGGGGCAAGGCCAAAAAGAAGGUCCAACCAGCUGUACAUUUGGAAAAAUAAAACUUUAUUAAAUCAAA
rnacentral:lncRNA from 1 species